AGCGAACGUUAGCGGCGCGCCUAACACAUGCAAGUCGCACGAGAAAGGGAGCAAUCCCCGGUACAGUGGCGCACGGGUGAGUAACACGUAGAUGACCUUCCCUGGAGUGGUGGAUAACCUGCCGAAAGGCGGGCUAAUACAGCAUGGGACCACAUGGUUUUGACCGAGUGGUGAAAGCGGGCCUCUGUUCACAAGCUCGCGCUCUGGGAUGGGUCUGCGUCCCAUCAGCUAGUUGGUGAGGUAAUGGCUCACCAAGGCAUCGACGGGUAGCUGGUCUGAGAGGAUGACCAGCCACACUGGAACUGAGACACGGUCCAGACUCCUACGGGAGGUAGCAGUGGGGAAUCUUGCGCAAUGGGCGAAAGCCUGACGCAGCGACGCCGCGUGGGUGAUGAAGGCC
rnacentral:rRNA from 1 species